rnacentral:lncRNA from 1 species
GUUAGGUGAACCAUAUCCUCACAAUUGCUCAUAUAAACUAUUCAGAAUAUGUGAAAAAUCAUCUCAUGAUGACUCCAUGUGCUGAGAGAAUAUGAGAAACAUUUUGAUACAGACUACUAAAACUAUACCUAAAAGUUUACAUACACAGAUUAAUUUGUGUCUUUGUAAACAUUUUAUCUCAAAGUUUAAUUAAUAAAAAGAAAAUCAUGUCAAAUUACUAGUGAUGUUUCUCACUAUGUUACUCUUUAGUUAUGGUUGUCUUCACUAGCAUAAGAACUAUGACUCGGAAUCCUCUCCCAAAGCUAAGUUGCUGAGUGUACUAUGGUAAAUGAUUUGAAGUUUUUGUUUACAUCUCCAGGCAUAGGUAUUGAAUUUUGUUCAGGAUAGUUCAAAACAUCUUUUUUGAGCAGUGAAAGUGCAGCUAGAAUGGGAACAAUUCUUCAUUUUUCCCAAUCUACUGUUCAAUUCUUUCAUUUGACUGUUUCGAACACUAAUGAUUUAGUAGCUGAAGAUAUAAUUAUUAGUUGAAAUGAAAGGGAUGAGGACUUAAAAAUCACUGGGGUUCCUCAGGUUUAACAAUGGUUAAGUACUGUCAAUCUUUUUAUUUAUGAGUAAUGUAAAAGAAGGCCAGUUAAUAUAAAUGUUAUAAAUUUAGGCACUAACCUCUAGUUUUUCUAUUGAUACUACAUUUACUUGCUUCUCUUUUUUCUUAUUUGAGCUCUGUUAUGUAGAUCGUUCACUUAUUUGAAUUCUGAUGAAGGGAGGUCAUUCACCGAAGGAAGAUUUACUCAUAUGUCAUGCAUACCAUUGAAAUCAGAUUAAUGUUUGUUUCAUCUAAGUGCUUAGCAACCUUCUCUGUACAACCAAUGGUAGCAUGCUUGAUAUGGAAAAUUUGAUAGUAUGGAUAGUAUUAUAAAUGUAAUAAGCUAAAGUUUUUAUCAUUUUAUUGUUUAUAUAUAACCAACAAUGCUUACUAAAAUGCACCAAGAUUGUUUUGAGAUAUUGUUUGAUCAAUUGCUUCUCCUUUUCAUUUAUCUUUUUAAUUUGAUUAUCUUUAUUAAUGAAUUUAUCAUUCAGUAUUCUGUAUAAAAAUGGCAUAGUCGCAAAAGAUAAGAAACUUUGCCUAAUUUUUACUAAGUUGUAAAAGUCUAUGAAAUUUAGUGGAUGCAUUAAUUGGGAAUACUAACCCGUAAGGUGGUUUGCAAGUUCAUAAGAUAUUUGGCAACAUAUGGACUAAGAUUGCAAAGGUGAUUUCAAGUAGGUAACAAUAUAAUUCAAGAAUUUUCUUAGUAUUAUGUUGAAUUUUAUGAGAAAUAGUUUUUAUAAUAAAUAUAUACAUCCUAUGUUACUUUUCUCGUACAGAAUUGAUAAUGUCUAAAGAAUCGGUUCACGAAUUUGUGUAAGAAGAAAGCAAAGUACAAAGCCUUGGCAAAAGAAAACAAAGCUUCAUACAUCAACAUAAACAACAAAAAGUUUAUUUUUCCAAAUGGAUUCAAUGCAGAGGAAGCAUCUGAAUAAGCAGCAUCUCUAAAAAUGAUGAGUUAGAUUAAUUUAACCCUUUCCAGAAAAUGUUGUUGAUAUCAAAAUUCAGCUAAACAGCAUUAAUUUUUUUGGUUAAUAGGGCACACAUAUCAAAUCCUACUGAUAAUUGCCCACAAGGAGAAAAAAUAGUUACAAACUAUCUAUUUAGACCCCUUUUUGCAGUACUGGCACAGGAUAAAUUGUUGACUCACUUUUCCUUGACCAAUUUGUGCAGUGGUUGGUUUUGAUCCUUGACUGAUUAUAAUUAACAUUGUAGUAUUCUUGUUCAGAAACAAACAGAUCUUAUACUGAAUGCUAUUGAUUUGGAUGCUAUGUGGCUAUGCCAGAGGGGGAGAAUUAUGUCGUUGAUGAUGCAACUGGUGCUGAAAAGGUCAAUUGAUUGCUCUAAUUUGUUUUUGUUUUUGUUUUUUUUUUUUCCUUUUUUGAUGUAAAUGUUGGAUUUAAGUAUUUAUAAUAUCUCUUAUUUUCCUACCUGUUUCUCCAUUACAUCCUGUCGUAGUUUUUUUAGUACAGGGAUUUGUAGAUAAACUUGUUAUAUAAUGAAAAUUUAAUGGAAACUCCACUCUAAGGUAGAAUGCAGUAUCUUUUGAACUUGAAUGUUUGCAUAUCGCGUAGCCAGUCUAUAAAAUGUUUGAGAAAUUUCUUUAAUUCUAUUAGUUGGAUAGCUUUCUAUUCAAUUUGCUUUUAAUUCGUGGCUUGCCUACUUUACACCGGUGCAAUUUGCAUUACAACAUAUUGAGUUUCUUUGAAAUGAGUUACAUCAAGAAGUAUAAAGGAAAACUAAUAUAACUUCCAACUUAUUGGGUUAUUUUUGGAAAAACAUACAUCAAUGCCUCUUAUUUUUAUGGGAUUGGUCUAUAAAUUUAGUUUAACGCGGAAUGUAUUUCAGUGACAAAUUUAAUUUGUUGGACUAUCUGUUUAAUAACAUGUUUGUGAGUUGUUCAUAAUCCGGUUAAUUAAAUAUAUAGGAACCAGUGAUGGAUAAUUAGGUAGUACUUGUGGGUCCUGCAAAAUGUGUUUACAAAAUGUGGUUGGACCGAUUAUAAAUAGUUCAUGAACAUUAGCCAAACAUGGGCUUGAAACCUAAAUCUAUUCAUUCGAUAAAUUUCUUUAAUCUUUAGUUAUGUGCAUUUUGACUUUUAAGUCUUUGUCUGGCACUGGUUGUCCUGUGGAUGGGAAGGUACUGAUAAGGUCUAGGCAUAUAGUUUUUGUAGUUUCUAGGUGGUCUUUCUCAUUUUGCAACUUUUCUUUUCCAUAGUAGAAUGUAAACCUAUAAUGCCAAUAAAAAUCUGUGCAUCUUACCAUGCAGUCUGCUUUGUCAUUUGAUCAAAAGAUGUCAAGUAGCAGCAUAUUUGGAACAGAGAGUGGGAGAAUACCUCGAUUAGAGUUUUUCAUACUUCAACUUUUCUCUUUAAAUGAAAAUACUCAACAGGGAUUGGAAAAGCUAAUUAAUGUCUUAAUCCAUUAAACAUGAAAUUCUUUUAUGAGAUCAAUUUAGAUUGGUUCAUGGCCCUGGGCAACAGACAUGCUACAGUGGCUAGGACAAUCGGACAUUCAUUUACUGUAAUUCACUAGAAAAUUGAAUCUAUACUUUUGGUCUUCAUCUUCGGGAUGGUUAUAAUCCAUUUUUGGAUCUCACUUCAAGUGCUGAGAAGCAGAUACCGUCAGUGAUCGAGCACUUGAAUUCAAAAUGGGAAAGUUCAAGUGUAGCACAUGGCCAACUUAUGCUCUUCCCCUGUAAUAUGAAAUCAGUGAAAAUUGCUUCAUGCAAAAGAUGGACAUAAAAUGACUAUGGCAUUACUGCAGGAGAGGUUUAUGUUUCUGUGGAAAGUCUUUCGAUUUUUCGCCUAAGAUCUGAAGCUUCUUGCCGCAACAUUGCUUUCUUCAGUUUGGGAGUUUUGUCUUUUUAUUUGUUUAUUAUAUUGCUUUCCAUCUAUGGUUGGUUCUCCAAUACUGGUGAAAAUGUUUGGAGUAGCUUUGACAGGAGCUAUAGCAAAGUUUUGAAGAUUUCAAAUGAUCAAGAGGAAAAAGCCUAGUUGAGUGUUGAAAACAUCAAAGAUCCAUUCAACAUAGUAGUAUAGUAGAUUCAAGCGUGAAUGAGCUAAAGUCAUUGGAUAUACCGAUGAAUCAUGUGGUAAUUUUCAAUUCUCUUCUAUUCUUCUACUG